CCUGCUGCUAGAGGCAUUGCAAGUGUGGCUCCUGGGUCACAUGUGCAUCAGGAAGUGGCAGAGAUGAGUGGGGCUAUGCCUAUGCUCAGUGUUCUGACAUAUGAAUAUCUGAAUGAUUGGUAGCCUAAAUU